rnacentral:rRNA from 1 species
UACGGAGGGUGCGAGCGUUGUCCGGAAUCACUGGGCGUAAAGGGCGCGUAGGCGGCCUGAUAAGUCGGGGGUGAAAUCUUGCGGCUUAACCGCAAGGCUGCCUUCUAAACUGUCGGGCUAGAGCACAGUAGAGGCAGGUGGAAUUCCCGGUGUAGCGGUGGAAUGCGUAGAGAUCGAGAAGAGCAUCAGUGGCGAAAGCGACUUCCUGGACCAAUACCGACGUUCAGGCACGAAAGCGUGGGGAGCAAACAGG